rnacentral:rRNA from 1 species
AGUGAACGCUGGCGGCGUGCCUAAUACAUGCAAGUCGAACGGAGUGGCGCACGGGUGAGUAAUAUAUAGCUAAUCUGCCCCUUGCUGAGGGAAAAAGUUAGAAAUAACUGCUAAUAAUCCAUAGCAAGGGAUGAGACUAUAUUGUAUCAGCUAGUCGGUGGGGUAACGGCCUACCGAGGCUAUGACGCGUAACUGGUCUGAGAGGAUGAUCACUCACAUUCGAACUGAGACACGGUCCAAACUCCUACGGGAGGCAGCAGUAGGGAAUAUGGCGCAAUGGGGGGAGCCCUGACGCAGCAACGCCGCGUGGAGGAUGACACGUUUCGGAGCGUAAACUCCUUUUGUUAGGGAAGCGGUACCUAACGAAUAAGCACCGGCUAACUCCGUGCCAGCCGCCGCGGUAAUAC